GAAAUCAUUCUAAUAUCUUUAUUCUUAUUAUUAUCGGUGUUGAAAACUGUUGAGCUUCUUCAUAAUUUUGUGGAAUUCAUGAAUUUAGAUUUAGUUUUUUCAGGAUUCUUAGAUGAAUAGAAGGUUCAAAGAACAGCAUUUAUCUGAAAUAGAAAUCUUUUGUAACCUUAUAAAUGUCUUUACCGUCACUUUUGUUCAAUUUAAUGCAUCCUCGGCCACAAACUAACCCCAUAUUUACGUAUUUAUUUAUUUUUAGAGGUCUGUAUCAUUGUGUCUCAUUUGUCAGUCUGAUUCUCUCUUUUCUCUUCCUGUUUUUUAAUCAGCACUUCCUGUCCUGUCUGUAUCAGAUGCAUCUUCUUAAGGCAAAGGCACACAUAUAACAACCUAAAUUGACUUUUAUUGUUUUAUUUUUCCUGUAUUGCAUAUACUUUUUUUGUACACAUGCGUGACUUUAAGCUGUCUGUUUUGUUAAUUUCACACAGCUGUACUCAUGUGUGAAAAUAUGUGUUUUUGUGUUGUGAAUAUUUGCACAGUCCAGUGCUCUGUGUGAAGCGAGCGUGUGGAAGCGUGUGCUUGUGAAUAGAUGUGGUUUUGUGCACAGAAAGACAGCAUGUCAGACGAUUCUACACGUCAAAAGUGCAUCUGUGGCCUGCUGCACAGGAAGAGAAGGAGGUGCGACAGGAAGGAUAGAAAGAGAGGGAAAGAAAAAGACAGACGUGCGUGACAGAGACACUCAAACAGAGAAAGCGCCGAAUGGAGGAUGUCAAUGAGGUCUGAGAGAAGUAGAGUAGUGAGAGCGAAGGUGAACAGAUGCUAGUGAGACUUCCUGUGCUCAGAAACACACAUGAUGCUCCUUUGUUUGUGUGUUUGGAGACUCCAAAUCUGAAGACCAAUGAGAUCAGCGUGACUCUGUUAACAGUGAGUAUCGCUUUCAUCAUCAAACGUUUAGCUAUACUUUUAUAUUAUAUAUAUAUAUAUUAUAAGGUGUUUGUCUUUAAACAUUAGCCGUAUGGAGUUCAUUGCUGAAGAAAGUCUGUUUUCUUGAAAAAACAAUCUUACAAACAUUUUACCAUGGUAAACAUUGUUACAUUUACUAAUAAUAUUACUGCUGUAAAAUCAUAAUAUAAUUUGUGCAUUGUUUCUGAAGAAGUUUUUUUAUGUGCUGCGUCUGCUGAAUAUAUCUCGGUGUUCUGUUAUGUGGUGUUCUGAGUGGUUACUAUGGUAUGGUAUUUAGGAUGAUUGCUAGUGUAUUCUGAGUGGUUACUAAAUUAAAGGAUGGUUGCUAGUGUAUUCUGAGUGGUUACUAAGUUAAAGGAUGGUUGUUAGUGUAUUCUGAGUGGUUACUAAGUUAAAGGACGGUUGUUAGUGUAUUCUGAGUGGUUACUAGGAUAGAGGACGGUUGCUAGUGUAUUCUGAGUGGUUACUAAGUUAAAGGGUGGUUGCUAGUGUAUUCUGAGUGGUUACUAGGAUAGAGGAUGGUUGUUGGUGUAUUCUGAGUGGUUACUAAGUUAAAGGGUGGUUGCUAGUGUAUUCUGAUUGGUAACUAAGUUAAAGGGUGGUUGUUAGUGUAUUCUGAGUGGUUACUAAGUUAAAGGGUGGUUGUUAGUGUAUUCUGUGUAUUCUGAGUGGUUACUAGGAUAGAGGACGGUUGCUAGUGUAUUCUGAAUGGUUACUAAGUUAAAGGGUGGUUGCUAGUGUAUUCUGAGUGGUUACUAGGAUAGAGGAUGGUUAUUGGUGUAUUCUGAGUGGUUACUAAGUUAAAGGGUGGUUGCUAGUGUAUUCUGAGUGGUUACUAAGUUAAAGGGUGGUUGUUAGUGUAUUCUGAGUGGUUACUAGGAUAGGGGACGGUUGCUAGUGUAUUCUGAAUGGUUACUAAGUUAAAGGGUGGUUGCUAGUGUAUUCUGAGUGGUUACUAAGUUAAAGGGUGGUUGUUAGUGUAUUCUGAGUGGUUACUAGGAUAGAGGACGGUUGCUAGUGUAUUCUGAGUGGUUACUAAGUUAAAGGACAGUUGCUAGUGUAUUCUGAGUGGUUACUAGGAUAGAGGACGGUUGCUAGUGUAUUCUGAGUGGUUACUAAGUUAAAGGAUGGUUGCUAGUGUAUUCUGAGUUGUUACUAAGUUAAAGGAUGGUUGCUAGUGUAUUCUGAGUGGUUACUACGUUAAAGGACGGUUGCUAGUGUAUUCUGAGUGGUUACUAGGAUAAAGGACGGUUGCUAGUGUAUUCUUAGUGGUUACUAAGUUAAAGGAUGGUUGCUAGUGUAUUCUGAGUGGUUACUAAGUUAAAGGGUGGUUGUUAGUGUAUUCUGAGUGGUUACUAAGUUAAAGGGUGGUUGCUAGUGUAUUCUGAGUGGUUACUAAGUUAAAGGGUGGUUGUUAGUGUAUUCUGAGUGGUUACUAGGAUAGAGGACGGUUGCUAGUGUAUUCUGAGUGGUUACUAAGUUAAAGGACAGUUGCUAGUGUAUUCUGAGUGGUUACUAAGUUAAAGGACAGUUGCUAGUGUAUUCUGAGUGGUUACUAGGAUAGAGGACGGUUGCUAGUGUAUUCUGAGUGGUUACUAAGUUAAAGGAUGGUUGCUAGUGUAUUCUGAGUUGUUACUAAGAUAGAGGACGGUUGCUAGUGUAUUCUGAGUGGUUACUAAGUUAAAGGGUGGUUGCUAGUGUAUUCUGAGUGGUUACUAGGAUAGAGGACGGUUGCUAGUGUAUUCUGAGUGGUUACUAGGAUAGAGGACGGUUGCUAGUGUGUUCUGAGUGGUUACUAAGUUAAAGGGUGGUUGCUAGUGUAUUCUGAGUGGUUACUAAAUUAAAGGAUGGUUGUUAGUGUAUUCUUAGUGGUUACUAAGUUAAAGGAUGGUUGCUAGUGUAUUCUGAGUGGUUACUAGGAUAGAGGAUGGUUGCUAAUGUAUUCUGAAUGGUUGCUAAGUCAAAGGAUGGUUGCUAGUGUAUUCUGAGGGGUUACUAAGUUAAAGUAUGGUUGCUAGUGUAUUCUGAGUGGUUACUAAAUUAAAGGAUGGUUGCUAAUGUAUUCUGAGUGGUUGCUAAGUCAAAGGAUGGUUGCUAGUGUAUUCUGAGUGGUUACUAAGUUAAAGGGUGGUUGCUAGUGUAUUCUGAGUGGUUACUAAAUUAAAGGAUGGUUGCUAAUGUAUUCUGAGUGGUUGCUAAGUCAAAGGAUGGUUGCUAGUGUAUUCUGAGUGGUUACUAAGUUAAAGGGUGGUUGCUAGUGUAUUCUGAGUGGUUACUAAGAUAGAGGACGGUUGCUAGUGUAUUCUGAGUGGUUACUAAGUUAAAGGGUGGUUGCUAGUGUAUUCUGAGUGGUUACUAGGAUAGAGGACGGUUGCUAGUGUAUUCUGAGUGGUUACUAGGAUAGAGGACGGUUGCUAGUGUGUUCUGAGUGGUUACUAAGUUAAAGGGUGGUUGCUAGUGUAUUCUGAGUGGUUACUAAAUUAAAGGAUGGUUGUUAGUGUAUUCUUAGUGGUUACUAAGUUAAAGGAUGGUUGCUAGUGUAUUCUGAGUGGUUACUAGGAUAGAGGAUGGUUGCUAAUGUAUUCUGAAUGGUUGCUAAGUCAAAGGAUGGUUGCUAGUGUAUUCUGAGGGGUUACUAAGUUAAAGGAUGGUUGCUAGUGUAUUCUGAGUGGUUACUAAAUUAAAGGAUGGUUGCUAAUGUAUUCUGAGUGGUUGCUAAGUCAAAGGAUGGUUGCUAGUGUAUUCUGAGUGGUUACUAAGUUAAAGGGUGGUUGCUAGUGUAUUCUGAGUGGUUACUAAAUGAAAGGAUGGUUGCUAAUGUAUUCUGAGUGGUUGCUAAGUCAAAGGAUGGUUGCUAGUGUAUUCUGAGUGGUUACUAAGUUAAAGGGUGGUUGCUAGUGUAUUCUGAGUGGUUACUAAAUUAAAGGAUGGUUGCUAGUGUAUUCUGAGUGGUUACUAGGAUAGAGGACGGUUGCAAGUGUAUUCUGAGUGGUAACGAAAUUAAAGGACGGUUGCUAGUGUAUUCUGAGUGGUUACUAAGUUAAAGGACAGUUGCUAGUAUAUUCUGAGUGGUUACUAAAUUAAAGGAUGGUUGUUAGUGUAUUCUUAGUGGUUACUAAGUUAAAGGAUGGUUGCUAGUGUAUUCUGAGUGGUUACUAGGAUAGAGGAUGGUUGCUAAUGUAUUCUGAAUGGUUGCUAAGUCAAAGGAUGGUUGCUAGUGUAUUCUGAGGGGUUACUAAGUUAAAGGAUGGUUGCUAGUGUAUUCUGAGUGGUUACUAAAUUAAAGGAUGGUUGCUAAUGUAUUCUGAGUGGUUGCUAAGUCAAAGGAUGGUUGCUAGUGUAUUCUGAGUGGUUACUAAGUUAAAGGGUGGUUGCUAGUGUAUUCUGAGUGGUUACUAAAUUAAAGGAUGGUUGCUAGUGUAUUCUGAGUGGUUACUAGGAUAGAGGACGGUUGCAAGUGUAUUCUGAGUGGUAACGAAAUUAAAGGACGGUUGUUAGUGUAUUCUGAGUGGUAACUAAGUUAAAGGAAAGUUGCUAGUAUAUUCU